rfam:Pseudoalteromonas citrea strain KMM216 contig0017, whole genome shotgun sequence.
CGUAUGGUACCAAACUACGGGUUUGGAGAGCGAUGCGGCCUUAACUAGAGGU